GUGUGUGUGGGGGGGGGGGGGGGGGGGGGGUUGAGUUCCAAAAAAAGACAUGAGUGUGAUAUGCCCCUCUGUUUUAAUGUUGGAAUGCCAAGAAUGGAAGAUGACAAAGGAGAUAGUGAUGAGGGUGAGAGCAUCCAGUAUGAAAAUAAAGAGCCCUUGGGAUCUAAAAUGAGUGUGGGGGCCCUCUUGUGUCUCCUUUCUGUCCGUUUGAGGAUACUACAGUCACCCCUGGUGGAGGAUCUUGGAACACUGCUAUUUAAGAGGUUGAUGAAAACCUUCAACGGUGGUGGUGCUAUGUUGCAUGUUAUCUUGAAUACCAAUCAGCAGUUUGAGGACAGAAUGAAAUGGUGUAAACUCAACUGGUUGAACUUGUUGAGGACACUCUUCUAAAAAGGGGUUCCAACAGGGUUCUUGGCUGUUAUCGAAGGAAAAUCCUUUUUGGUUCCAGGUAGAACCCUCUGUGGAAUGGAGCCCAAAAGUGUUCUACCUCGGCACAGAAGGGGUUCUACCUGGAACAAAAAAGGGUUCUCCUAUGGGGACAGAGGAAUAAUCCUUUUAGGUUGUAGAAAGCACCUUGUUCUUAGUGUAGGUCUAUAUUGCCGUGGUGGUUCAGUGGUUUUCUGUAAUAAAAUAAAUGGUUAAUUGGUGGUGGGGAGUUAAGAUGAUCUGAAAUCAUAUGAAACACUUUUAGCACUGCCUCUGAUCUGGCGGACUCACUAAACACAAAUGCUUGUAGUUUAGUUUGUAAAUUAUAUCUGAGUGUUGGAGUGUGCCCCUGGCUAUCAGCAAAUACAUUUGGUUUGCUUAAUAUAAGGAAUUUGAAAUGGUUUACACUUGUACUUUUACUUUUGAUACUUAAGUACAUUUGAGAUAUUCCAUUUACUUUUGAUACUUCAGUAUAUUUAAAACCAAAUACUUUUAGACUUUUACUCAAGUAGUAUUUCACUGGGUGACUCUCACUUUUACUUGUCAUUUUCUAUUAAGGGAUCUUUACUUUUACUCAAGUAUGACUAUAUAGUACUUUUUCCACCACUGAGGCAAGCAGAUCAGAGAUGUCAAGGUGGCACCCAAGCAUAUGCCAUGUGUAUAUGUGCAACACACAAAUACAAAUGGUCAUAUAUUUGAUAUUUUAUUUCAUUUGUUAUCUGAUGGAGCCAUCCCUUGUAUCAUUUUCUAGGCCUCCCAGGUAUUUGCAUUUAAAGUAAGGUAUAUGAUUACUGCUGCUAGGGGGGGCUGUGACGUCAAUGGGGGGCGGGGCGUUAGUGAGAUCGUGAGAGGUUUCUUCUUCGAUCUUGGGGAAUGCCUACUACUGAAAACUAAUAACGUUUCUCCGUCUCAUCAUUUUACCCUAUUAAUCAAGUUACGUAAUGUGCAAAAGUGCAAUAUGACUCUCAGCAUAUUGAGGUAACAUGGUUAACUACAUAGUCCAUGAGUUUGGUCACGUUUGAAGGCAAUUGAAGGGAGUUUUAACAGAGUGAUAAACUGGUUGGUAUUUUCCCCCAUUGUAAGUAAUGGAGGUUGGCUAGGUUGCUAAUGGUUUACAUGUAAGAGAAGGGAACAAGAUGGCGUCUGAACAUUCUGUACUUCUUUUCAACAACGUUUUAGAUCCUAUUUGUUUUAUUUUCUAACAAAGACUCAGUUAUUUAGUUCAGGUAAUAUAUGUAAAUAUGUGAUAUAAAAUGUGUUAAUAUUUCUACAAAAAUAUUAUUUAACAGUUCGCUAGCUUGAUGCUAUCCAUAUUUAGCUUGGCUAAGCGCUAGCUAGCUUUAGGCUAGUUUAUCUCAGUCUGAUAGCUUACAUGUUAGUAGUUUAUAAUAUAAUGGUUGUAGCAAUGUUUAGCACAGGUCUCCAGUAAUUUAUAGCUUUUCCCAAAUUGACACUGAUAGUACAGUGAGUUAUAUAUAAUGUGAAUGUGUAGAUGUGUGGUGAUAGUAUUUUAACCUCAGACCUUUUAUUUUUUUGAUACUGGAGUAUGAAAUGUGGAGAUGUAAUGCAACAAUAGAGUUGUAAUGGAUACUUGGUUUUGAUCACCAAACAGAUUAACAAAAGAGAACAGUAUUUUAAUACAUCUUGGAGAAUUCCUACUACUGAACACUAGUAAUGUUUCUCCGUCUCAUCAUUUUACCCUGUUAAUUCAGGUUUAUUAUCUGCUGACCACAUCCCAGUCCGAGGCGUGUAACAUAUGUCAACAGGUGUUAAGGACUUGAAAGUUACAGAAAUUGAGUCAACUGUAAGGACAAGGGAUCACAGCUAAAUGAAAUCCAACUGAUGCCAUUGCGUGAAGACACAAACAAGCUGAUAUUCAUUGAUUAUUUUUGACUGCUGUCAUAUUAAAUAUAAUUCCAUUAUUGCUUUUGUGCUGAGUUUCACUAUUUAUCAAGGCUACUUCUUCUACUUCUGAAUCAGUAAGCUUGACUCUGAAUCAUGUGCAGUGUGACCACUGAGACUUAAACUAACUCAAUAUGACUCCUGAGAUAUACAGUUAAUCAAUUAUAGCGUCUUUGAAAAUAAUCAAAAUCAGUCAGUCUGGUCAGAGUGACUCUAUAAAGACAGACUGAAUCAACAGAGAGAGUUAGAGAGAGCGAGAGGGAGAUUGUCUAGAAUCAGACUCUUUAAACAGUCUUGGUUUGACCACCAGAGAAAAGAAAGAAAGUAGUUAUGAGCUGAACAAUAUGCCAGUGGAAGGGAGGACAGUACCAGGUAACCCAGUUGUGGUUUGUAACUAUUCUGAUUUCUCAUUGUUGCCAAUUGAGUUGCAGUGGAAUAGAAACUCAGUGGCACCAGUUAUGUGAUCCAGACCCCAGAUGGUAGGUGUUCUGCCCGUGUGUCAUGUUAACAUGCUGAAAGGGUAUUAUAUGCGUGACUCUCCAGACAGCUCCUCAGGUGAGCCGGUCCAGCCCGUCUCCAGUGUGUCUGCGGUGGUGCUGAAGCCUGUCUGGGACCUAGAGGAGGAUAAGGAGGACGGGUUGGAGUUACUCCAUACGUUACAGCAGUGUGAACACAACAAGUUACCCUCUCAAAUGGAACAUGUGGAGAACAAAUCAAACGAAUGAUCUUAUCCUGUUGAUAAAUAGUUUUCUCAAUGUGUUUCAGGACGUUCCAAGUCGCAUGGCCAUCUUGGAACAUGACGUGGAUGUGGGGAACGCUGCUCCUAUUCGUCAGCAUCCGUACCGGGUUAACGCACAUAGUCCAUCUAACCGUCAGCCAGUCCUGAGCUGCUCCUCAGUCCUGAGCUGCCCCUCAGUCCGGAGCUGCCCCUCAGUCCGGAGCUGCCCCUCAGUCCUGUGCUGCCCCUCAGUUCGGAGCUGCCCCUCAGUCCAGUGGGGCCCUUUAGUAGGGUUGCCAGUCCUAGGUCGGUGGCGAGGGUCGCCGCUUUAAAGAGGCCACAGAGGCGGGCGAAGAGGCGCACCAGAACUUUGGUGAAGUGGGGUCCACGUCCCGCGCCAGAACCACCACCAUCUAUUUCUGUGUUUGGCAUGAUAUGGUUCUCAAUCAGAGGCAGCUGUUUAUCGUUGUCCCUGAUUGAGAACCAUAUUUAGGUAGCCUGGGUUUCACUGUUGUUUUGUGGGUGUUUGUUUCCUGUGUCAGUCUUUGUGCCACACAGGACUGUUUCAUUAAUAUUCACUUUGUUAUUUUAUAUUGUGUCAUGUUCAGUUUAUUCUAUUAAAACAUGGACACUUACCA